rnacentral:misc_RNA from 1 species
GAUGAAGAACGUAGCGAAAUGCGAUACGUAAUGUGAAUUGCAAAUUCAGUGAAUCAUCGAGUCUUUGAACGCACAUUGCGCCCCCUGGUAUUCCGGGGGGCAUGCCUGUCCGAGCGUCAUUGCUGCCCUCAAGCACGGCUUGUGUGUUGGGCCCCGUCCUCCGAUUCCGGGGGACGGGCCCGAAAGGCAGCGGCGGCACCGCGUCCGGUCCUCGAGCGUAUGGGGCUUUGUCACCCGCUCUGUAGGCCCGGCCGGCGCUUGCCGAUCAACCCAAAUUUUUAUCCAGGUUGACCUCGGAUCAGGUAGGGAUACCCGCUGAACUUGAGCAUAUCAAUAAGCGGAGGA